rnacentral:misc_RNA from 1 species
GAUGAAGAACGUAGCGAAAUGCGAUAAGUAGUGUGAAUUGCAGAAUUCAGUGAAUCAUCGAAUCUUUGAACGCACAUUGCGCCCCUUGGUAUUCCAUGGGGCAUGCCUGUUCGAGCGUCAUUUGUACCUUCAAGCUCUGCUUGGUGUUGGGUGUUUGUCUCGCCUCUGCGUGUAGACUCGCCUCAAAACAAUUGGCAGCCGGCGUAUUGAUUUCGGAGCGCAGUACAUCUCGCGCUUUGCACUCAUAACGACGACGUCCAAAAGUACAUUUUUACACUCUUGACCUCGGAUCAGGUAGGGAUACCCGCUGAACUUAAGCAUAUCAAUAAGCGUAGGA